UGGGAAAUCGUCUAAAGGCAAGAUAAUGGACUCUGAUUCCGUAGAUCCAGGUUCGAAUCCUGGUUUCCCAG
rnacentral:tRNA from 1 species